AAGGGCACCACAAGAACGCGUGGAGCAUGUGGCUUAAUUUGACUCAACGCGGGAAAUCUUACCGGGUCCGGACAUACUGAGGAUUGACAGGUUUUUAUAAGUUUAAAGUAGUAAAAAAUUUAUUUUUUAUUGCUUUUAUUUACUUAUAUCAAAUAUGCUAGUCCUUUCAUGAUUGUGUGAUAGGUGGUGCAUGGCCGUUCUUAGUUCGUGGAGUGAUCUGUCUGCUUAAUUGCGUUUCACAUUAAGAGAGUGUAUAAGAUGCUUUGUUUGCACACAAGGGUUUGUUGCUUUUACAUAUUUAUAUAUGUAUUUGCACACUUUGUAGUUGCACGGUAUCUAUAAACAACCUUCUCUGAAGGCAACGAACGUGACCGCAACAUUUUGUUGCUUCUUCAAUUAUUAUUUUUUUUUUAUUAAAUUAAUAAUAAUUAAACUAGAAGCUAACUAAAUGGACCGCUGACAUCUUUCUAAACAGAGGAAGGUUGCGGCAAUAACAGGUCUGUGAUGCCCUUAGAUGUUCCGGGCUGCACACGUGCUACAAUGAUUAUUGCAGUAAGCAUCUUUAUAUAGAUAUGGUGUUUUAAAAUUUAUUUUAAAACAAUCCAUUGAGGAUGUUUAGUCUCUUAUAUUAACUUCGGUUAUUAUUUGUUGACGCAUCCGCUCAACCAACUUCGAAAGUAAGUUGGUAAUCAAUUCGAAGUAAUGAUUUCCUUUCGCACAUAUUAUUGUUUUAUUGUUUAUAGUCUUAGUUAUCAAUUUAUUGGUAUACUUCGUUCUAUCGUAAAACAUGUGCUCCAUUAUUUCAUGGUGGGGACAGACCAUUGUUAAUUGUUGGUCUCGGUCUCAACUAGGAAUGCCUUGUACGGGUCUUGGUUCAACAAACCACCCGGAAUAUGUCCCUGCCCUUUGUACACACCGCCCGUCA
rnacentral:rRNA from 1 species